GACGAACGCUGGCGGCGUGCUUAGCACAUGCAAGUCGAACGGAAAGGCCCUGCUUUUGUGGGGUGCUCGAGUGGCGAACGGGUGAGUAACACGUGAGUAACCUGCCCUGACUUUGGGAUAACUUCAGGAAACUGGGGCUAAUACCGGAUAGGAGCUCCUGCUGCAUGGUGGGGGUUGGAAAGUUUCGGCGGUUGGGGAUGGACUCGCGGCUUAUCAGCUUGUUGGUGGGGUAGUGGCUUACCAAGGCUUUGACGGGUAGCCGGCCUGAGAGGGUGACCGGCCACAUUGGGACUGAGAUACGGCCCAGACUCCUACGGGAGGCAGCAGUGGGGAAUAUUGCACAAUGGGCGGAAGCCUGAUGCAGCAACGCCGCGUGCGGGAUGACGGCCUUCGGGUUGUAAACCGCUUUCGCCUGCGACGAAGCGUGAGUGACGGUAAUGGGUAAAGAAGCACCGGCUAACUACGUG
rnacentral:rRNA from 1 species